rnacentral:piRNA from 1 species
UGAGAUAGAGGGUCACGGUUGGUACC